UUGAAGAGUUUGAUCAUGGCUCAGAUUGAACGCUGGCGGCAGGCCUAACACAUGCAAGUCGGGCGGUAGCACAGAGAGCUUGCUCUCGGGUGACGAGCGGCGGACGGGUGAGUAAUGUCUGGGAAACUGCCUGAUGGAGGGGGAUAACUACUGGAAACGGUAGCUAAUACCGCAUAACGUCGCAAGACCAAAGAGGGGGACCUUCGGGCCUCUUGCCAUCAGAUGUGCCCAGAUGGGAUUAGCUAGUAGGUGGGGUAACGGCUCACCUAGGCGACGAUCCCUAGCUGGUCUGAGAGGAUGACCAGCCACACUGGAACUGAGACACGGUCCAGACUCCUACGGGAGGCAGCAGUGGGGAAUAUUGCACAAUGGGCGCAAGCCUGAUGCAGCCAUGCCGCGUGUAUGAAGAAGGCCUUCGGGUUGUAAAGUACUUUCAGCGGGGAGGAAGGUGUUGAGGUUAAUAACCUCAGCAAUUGACGUUACCCGCAGAAGAAGCACCGGCUAACUCCGUGCCAGCAGCCGCGGUAAUACGGAGGGUGCAAGCGUUAAUCGGAAUUACUGGGCGUAAAGCGCACGCAGGCGGUCUGUCAAGUCGGAUGUGAAAUCCCCGGGCUCAACCUGGGAACUGCAUUCGAAACUGGCAGGCUAGAGUCUUGUAGAGGGGGGUAGAAUUCCAGGUGUAGCGGUGAAAUGCGUAGAGAUCUGGAGGAAUACCGGUGGCGAAGGCGGCCCCCUGGACAAAGACUGACGCUCAGGUGCGAAAGCGUGGGGAGCAAACAGGAUUAGAUACCCUGGUAGUCCACGCCGUAAACGAUGUCGACUUGGAGGUUGUGCCCUUGAGGCGUGGCUUCCGGAGCUAACGCGUUAAGUCGACCGCCUGGGGAGUACGGCCGCAAGGUUAAAACUCAAAUGAAUUGACGGGGGCCCGCACAAGCGGUGGAGCAUGUGGUUUAAUUCGAUGCAACGCGAAGAACCUUACCUACUCUUGACAUCCAGAGAACUUUCCAGAGAUGGAUUGGUGCCUUCGGGAACUCUGAGACAGGUGCUGCAUGGCUGUCGUCAGCUCGUGUUGUGAAAUGUUGGGUUAAGUCCCGCAACGAGCGCAACCCUUAUCCUUUGUUGCCAGCGGUUAGGCCGGGAACUCAAAGGAGACUGCCAGUGAUAAACUGGAGGAAGGUGGGGAUGACGUCAAGUCAUCAUGGCCCUUACGAGUAGGGCUACACACGUGCUACAAUGGCGCAUACAAAGAGAAGCGACCUCGCGAGAGCAAGCGGACCUCAUAAAGUGCGUCGUAGUCCGGAUUGGAGUCUGCAACUCGACUCCAUGAAGUCGGAAUCGCUAGUAAUCGUAGAUCAGAAUGCUACGGUGAAUACGUUCCCGGGCCUUGUACACACCGCCCGUCACACCAUGGGAGUGGGUUGCAAAAGAAGUAGGUAGCUUAACCUUCGGGAGGGCGCUUACCACUUUGUGAUUCAUGACUGGGGUGAAGUCGUAACAAGGUAACCGUAGGGGAACCUGCGGUUGGAUCACCUCCUU
rnacentral:rRNA from 1 species